UGAACGCUGACAGAAUGCUUAACACAUGCAAGUCAACUUGAACUUCGGUUUGGGUGGCGGACGGGUGAGUAACGCGUAAAGAACUUGCCUCACAGUUAGGGACAACAUUUGGAAACGAAUGCUAAUACCUGAUAUUAUGAUUUUAGGGCAUCCUAGAAUUAUGAAAGCUAUAUGCGCUGUGAGAGAGCUUUGCGUCCCAUUAGCUAGUUGGAGAGGUAACGGCUCACCAAGGCGAUGAUGGGUAGCCGGCCUGAGAGGGUGAACGGCCACAAGGGGACUGAGACACGGCCCUUACUCCUACGGGAGGCAGCAGUGGGGAAUAUUGGACAAUGGACCAAGAGUCUGAUCCAGCAAUUCUGUGUGCACGAUGAAGUUUUUCGGAAUGUAAAGUGCUUUCAGUUGGGAAGAAAAAAAUGACGAUACCAACAGAAGAAGUGACGGCUAAAUACGUG
rnacentral:rRNA from 1 species